rnacentral:rRNA from 1 species
UGACCCCAGGUUAGGCAGGAUCACCCGCUGAGUUUAAGCAUAUCAAUAAGUGGAGUAAAAGAAACUUACCAAGAUUCCCCUAGUAACGACGAGCGAACCAGGAACAGCCUAGCUUGAGAAUCGAGUGCCCUUAGUGUUUGAAUUGUAAUCUGGAGAAGCAUCAUCAGCGGUGGGCCCAGCCCAAGUCCCCUGGAAAGGGGCACCGAAGAGGGUGAGAGCCCUAUUAUGCCCAGACCCUAUUACACCACGAGGCGCUGUCCGUGAGUCAGGUUGUUUGGGAAUGCAGCCCCAAUCGAGCGGUAAAUUUCAUCCAAGGUUGAAUACGGGCGAGAGACCAAUAGCGAACAAGUACUGCGAGGGAAAGAUGAAAAGGACUUUGAAAAAAGAGUCAAAGAGUGCUUGAAAUUGUUGGGAGGGAAGUGGAUUGGGGCCGACGAUGCACCUCAGUCAGAUGUGGAACAGCGAGAGUCGAUCCAUAGAUCGGCUCAGGGCGUGGACCGAUGAGGGUCGUGAUGGUGACACAAGCCUGGGCUUUCGAUGUGCCUGCAGAGACGUCAUCACCGUGAUCGCGAAAUGCAGCAUGCGCCAUCUCGACGUGCCAUGACACCAGCAUGCUCUAGGCGUCGGCCUGCAGGCUCCCCAUCCGGCCUGCUUGAAACACAGACCAAGGAGUCUGACAUGCGUGCGAGUCAACGAGCCAGAAAAGCGGUAAGGCAUAAGGAAGUUGAUUGACGGGAUCCCUCAUGGGUGCACCGUCGAUCGAGCUUGAUCUUUUGAAAAGGGUUCGAGUGCGAGCAUGCCCGUCAGGACCUAAAAGAUGGUGAACCACGCCAGAAAGGAAACUCUGAUGGAGGCCCGCAGCGAUACUGACGUGCAAAUCAUAUGUCUGACUUGGGUAUAGGGGUGAAAGACUAAUCGAAUCAUCUAGUAGCUGGUUCCCUCUGAAGUUUUCAUCAGGAUAGCUGGAGCCCCUGAUGAGUUUUAUCGGGUAAAGCCAAUGAUUAGAGGCAUCAGGGGUGUAACACCCUCGACCUAUUCUCAAACUUUAAAUAGGUAAGACGAUGCAAUUGCUUCAUUGAGUCACACCACAGAAUUGAGAGCUUCAAGUGGGCCAUUUUUGGUACGCAGAAUUGGAGAUGCAGGAUGAACUGAAAGCUGGGUUAUGGUGCCCAACUACGUGCUAACCCAAAACCCACAAAGGGUGUUAGUCGAUUAAGACAGCAGGACGGUGGUCACGAAAAUUGAAAUCCACUAAAGAGUGUGUAACAACUCACCUGUCGAAUCAACUAGCCCCAAAAAUGGAUGGCGCUUAAGCGCACGACCUAUACUCGACCGUCGAGGUAAGGCUAGGCCCCGAUGAGUAGGAGGGCAUGACAUUCAUCGCAAAACCCAACGUCGGUGUAGAUCUUGGUGGUAGUAGCAAAUAUUCAAAUGAGAACUUUGAAGGUCGAAAAAGGGAAAGGUUCUAUGUGAACGGCACUUGCACAUGGGUUAGUUGAUCCUGAGAGACAGGGAAAGCCCAUCCGACAGCAUGUCUCACGUGAACUUCAAAAAGGAAUCGGGUUAAAAUUCCUGAAUCGGGACGCAAUGGCUGACAGCAACGUUAGGGAGUCCAGAGACGUCGAUGAGGGCCUCAGGAAGAGUUAUCUUUUCUGUUUAACAGCCCAUCCACCCUGGAAAUGGGUCAGCUAGAGGUAGGGUCCAGUGGUCAGAAGAGCAUCGCACGUCAUGUGGUGUCUGGUGCACCCUUGGCGGCCCUUGAAAAUUCAGAGGACCGAGUGCCAUCUGUGCCUGGUCGAACUCAUAACCACAUCAGGUCUCCAAGGUCUAUAGCCUCUAGUCAAUGGAACAAUGUAGGCAAGGAAAGUCGGCAAAAUGGAUCCAUAACCUCAGGAAAAGGAUUGGCUCUGAAGGCUGGGCAUGGGGGUCCCAGUCCCGAACCCAUCAGCUGUCAGUGCAUUGCUCAAGCUGCUCCCACGGUGAGAGCGGGUCACCGCGUGCCGGUUGAGGGAUGAACUAGGAAUAGCUCCCUCGAGGGCCUUCCCUGGGUGAUGAACAAUCGACUCAAAACUGGUACGGACAAGGGUAAUCUGACUAUUUAAUUAAAACAAAGGAUUGUGAUGGUCCCUACGGAUGCUCACGCAAUGUGAUUUCUACCUAGUGCUCUGAAUAUCAAAGUGAAGAAAUUCAACCAAGCACGGGUAAACGACAUGAGUAACUAUGACUCUCUUAAGGUAGCUAAAUGCCUCUUCAUCUAAUUAGUGAGGCGCAUGAAUGGAUUAACGAGAUUCCCACUGUCCUUGUCUACUAUCAAAUGAAACCACAGCCAAGGGAACGGGCUUGGUGGAAUCAGCAGGGAAAGAAGACCCUGUUGAGCUUAACUCUAGUCCGACUUUGUGAAAUGACUUGAAAGGUGUAAGAUAAGUGGGAGCCCCCGAGUGAAAUUGAAAUACCACUACUUUUAAUGUUAUUUUACUCAUUUCGUGAAUCGGAGGCAGGGCAUGACCCAUUCUUUUGGGCCCAAGCUUAGCCUCGAUCGGUUGAUCUGGGUAGAAGACAUUGUCAGGUGGAGAGUUUGGCUAGGGCGGCACAUCUAUUAAAAGAUAACACCGAUGUCCUAAGAUGAGCUUAAUGAGAAUAGAAAUCUCGUCUGGAACAAAAGGGUAAAAGCUCAUUUGAUUCUGAUUUCUAGUAUGAAUACAAAUCUUGAAAGUGUGGCCUAUCGAUCCUUUAGACCUUCAGGAUUUGAAACUAGAGGUGUCAAAAAAGUUACCAUAGGGAUAACUGGCUUGUGGCAGCCAAGCGUUCAUAGCGACGUUGCUUUUUGAUCCUUCGAUGUUGGCUCUUCCUAUCAUUGUGAAGCAAAAUUCACCAAGUGUUGGAUUGUUCACCCACCAACAGGGAACGUGAGCUGGGUUUAGACCAUCAUGAGAUAGGUUAGUUUUACCCUACUGAUGGCAAUGUCGCGAUAGUAAUUCAACCUAGUACGAGAGGAACCGUUGAUUCGCACAAUUGGUCAUCGUGCUUGGUUAAAAAGCUAGUGGCUGAAGCUAUCAUGCACUGGAUUAGGAUUGAACGCCUCUAAGUCAAAAUCUGGGCUAGAAGCGACGCGCACGCCCGUCGCCUGAUUGCCAACCCACAGUAGGGGCCCAUGGCCCUCAAGGACAGGUGUCGUAGGUGCAGCCCUCGGGGUGGACGAGCCGCACGGGCUUCCUUUGAGCUUAAUUCCCAUCGAGCAAUGGGUAGAAUCCUUUGCAA